GCCUUUAGUCCCAGUUACUUGGGAGGCUGAGGUGAGGGGAUCGCUUGAGUCCAGGAGAUCUGGGCUGUGGUGUGCUAUGUCAAUCAGAGGCGUACACUAAGUUCAGCAUCAAUAUGGUGACAUCCCGGGAGUAGGGGACCGGCAGGUUACCUAAGGAGGGGUGAACCAGCCCGGGUUGGAAAAGGUCAAAAUUCCUGUGCUGAUCGGUAGUGGGAUCAUGCUUGUGAAUAGCCACUGUGCUCCAGCCUGGGCAACGUAAUGAGACCCCAUCUCCU
ensembl:misc_RNA Metazoa_SRP Metazoan signal recognition particle RNA